UAAUUCCACCGUGCGACGGUUGCGCGGCGCGGCGUGCGGUGGGCCGGCCCGGUAGCCAGCAUGGAAGUGGGGAGCUUCCUUCACGUGGUUGUCUCAGUUGCUUGGAUACCGAACCAAAGAACACACAGCACCGCGCUUCGUCAGUGUCCCGCAUUCGUAUUUUCGUAAACCCUCCAAUUUCCCCGUCUUCAAAUUUUAACAAUUCGCUAAUAUUGCGACAUUUUUCCAACAGACCACCGUUCGCCACUCCAUCCUUGAAACCGGUUGCGCUCUCCUAGAAACCCCCGAAAGUAAGUGUGCUCCUCGCAAACAAUGCUCCUUCUGACUUGUGAUUCAUAUCAAUUCCGGCCCCAUCAAUGUCGUAAAUAACUUAUCAUCUGAGCUCGAAAGCUUCAGACUCGCAUACUAACUCAAAUGCAAGCAGAAGUGGAAACUCGGCCCCCGUUGGAAAAAGACCUUGCGCUAGGGUUGAGCGAGGGGCAUUUAGAGCGAAUCAACAGCGCCCUGAGCGAUUCCUCAGUGACGGGCGGGAAAGUGCGGCAGUUCUUCCAGGAGCGGCGAUGCCCGCGCAGUAAGAGUCACGGCGCCACCGCCCGCGGCUGGGACAAGAGCUUCCCGUUGGAGCCCCUCAAAAAAGGGGUCAAGGCCAAGACUAUCCCCCUGCACACCCCCAUCCUCAACCUCGACGAGAUCAACUCUAACCUCAGGCUCAAGGUAAAAAAACUCCUGUGCACCAGUGGCGCGGCGUGAAUGAUCGAUUACACCGCUCAACAUGGGUUCUGUCCUUCGAACCAAACCAAUUUUUUUCGAUUCCUAGGUGAUAUAGAAGUCCAAAAAUGCCCAUAAAAAACUUCAAGAAAAUUGGCUGGUGCUCAGGGUGCCGCCAUUUUGAAUUUUCCAAAAUUGAGAAAACCCACGAUCAGUUUUUUGAAAAAAUCUCCUCAACGGUUAAUUUUACGAAAAAAACAGCAGAAAGUACAUAAAAUUUCCUACCGAAAUGACUCUCCAUUUUCUUUCCUAGCUUAAUUUUUUGGUCAUUAAAUUAACGUUUUCGUCAAAAAUUAGCUUAAAAAAGGCGCAUUUUCGCUGAUUUUGGGAGAAACUUUGGUUCAUAUCUCCAGCCACGAUUAUCUAAGAAAAAACUGUUAAGCUCAUUAAAAGAACGUAAAAACUUCUAGAAAACAUAUGUCAAAAGUUUCAAAGCUUGGCUUAAUCCUGUGAAACAGCAGUUUAUUAGCUCAGCUCUUAAAAUAUGAUUUUUUAGACCAUUUUCUUUAGAAUCAAGAAAAAAGGAAAAAAAAUCUAAAAACGUGACCCAAACUGUGUAAAAAGGUGGCAAAUAGUGCUUGGUGACUAUUUUGAAUAUUCGUUUCCCCCCGUCCUUUUCCCCUUUUUUAAGGUGUUCGCUGUGG
rnacentral:lncRNA from 1 species